rnacentral:rRNA from 1 species
UACGUAGGGUGCAAGCGUUAAUCGGAAUUACUGGGCGUAAAGCGUGCGCAGGCGGUUUUGUAAGUCUGUCGUGAAAGCCCCGGGCUUAACCUGGGAAUUGCGAUGGAGACUGCAAGGCUUGAAUCUGGCAGAGGGGGGUAGAAUUCCACGUGUAGCAGUGAAAUGCGUAGAGAUGUGGAGGAACACCGAUGGCGAAGGCCGCCCCCUGGGUCAAGAUUGACGCUCAUGCACGAAAGCGUGGGGAGCAAACAGG